GGCUUGACCCCCAGCGGCU
rnacentral:misc_RNA from 1 species